rnacentral:lncRNA from 1 species
CACACGCACACGCACACACAAUAGCAUAGAGAGGGAAGCACUAAUAAGCCCACUUCCAUAACGGCCUUGUUAAGCACCACAAAAUGUGAAGUACAGAUUUCACACCAAACUUGGAAAAUAGAGCAUAACAUAUUUUCUGGAACAUGAAGAAAUACUCUUAGCCACCACAUUUAACAAUUAUUUAGUUAGUAGACUGGGAAGUGAACCCCAAAGGUAUUUAGGUGCAAUUAAGUUGUAUAUUAUGAUAAUCAUUAUUUCAAACAAACAAGAAAAAGAGCAACAAGCUUUGACGUUAAAUUAUGAGUAAAUCCUA